rnacentral:rRNA from 1 species
AGCGGCGGACGGGUGAGUAAUGUCUGGGAAACUGCCUGAUGGAGGGGGAUAACUACUGGAAACGGUAGCUAAUACCGCAUAACGUCGCAAGACCAAAGAGGGGGACCUUCGGGCCUCUUGCCAUCAGAUGUGCCCAGAUGGGAUUAGCUAGUAGGUGGGGUAACGGCUCACCUAGGCGACGAUCCCUAGCUGGUCUGAGAGGAUGACCAGCCACACUGGAACUGAGACACGGUCCAGACUCCUACGGGAGGCAGCAGUGGGGAAUAUUGCACAAUGGGCGCAAGCCUGAUGCAGCCAUGCCGCGUGUAUGAAGAAGGCCUUCGGGUUGUAAAGUACUUUCAGCGGGGAGGAAGGUGUUGAGGUUAAUAACCUCAGCAAUUGACGUUACCCGCAGAAGAAGCACCGGCUAACUCCGUGCCAGCAGCCGCGGUAAUACGGAGGGUGCAAGCGUUAAUCGGAAUUACUGGGCGUAAAGCGCACGCAGGCGGUCUGUCAAGUCGGAUGUGAAAUCCCCGGGCUCAACCUGGGAACUGCAUUCGAAACUGGCAGGCUAGAGUCUUGUA